UACUUAGUGGCAGACGGGUGAGUAACAUGUGGGUAUCUACCCUUUGGCCUGGAAUAACACGAGGAAACUUGUGCUAAUACCGGAUAAGUCUUUACGGAGAAAGCUUUAUGCACCAUUGGAUGAGCCCGCACUUGAUUAGUUUGUUGGUAGGGUAAUGGCCUACCAAGACUAUGAUCAAUAGCUGAUUUGAGAGGAUGAUCAGCCACAUUGGGACUGAGACACGGCCCAAACUCCUACGGGAGGCAGCAGUGGGGAAUCUUGCACAAUGGAGGAAACUCUGAUGCAGCGAUGCCGCGUGAGUGAAGAAGGCCUUUGGGUUGUAAAGCUCUUUCGUCGGGGAAGAAAAUGACUGUACCCGAAUAAGAAGGUCCGGCUAACUUCGUGCCAGCAGCCGCGGUAAUACGAAGGGACCUAGCGUAGUUCGGAAUUACUGGGCUUAAAGAGUUCGUAGGUGGUUGAAAAAGUUAGUGGUGAAAUCCCAGAGCUUAACUCUGGAACUGCCAUUAAAACUUUUCAGCUAGAGUAUGAUAGAGGAAAGCAGAAUUUCUAGUGUAGAGGUGAAAUUCGUAGAUAUUAGAAAGAAUACCAAUUGCGAAGGCAGCUUUCUGGAUCAUUACUGACACUGAGGAACGAAAGCAUGGGUAGCGAAGAGGAUUAGAUACCCUCGUAGUCCAUGCCGUAAACGAUGUGUGUUAGACGUUGGAAAUUUAUUUUCAGUGUCGCAGGGAAACCGAUAAACACACCGC
rnacentral:rRNA from 1 species